GGUCACUCUGGGCACCGCAACA
rnacentral:miRNA from 12 species